rnacentral:rRNA from 1 species
AUUGAACGCUGGCGGCAGGCCUAACACAUGCAAGUCGAGCGGUAGAGAGGUGCUUGCAUCUCUUGAGAGCGGCGGACGGGUGAGUAAUGCCUAGGAAUCUGCCUAGUGGUGGGGGAUAACGUUCGGAAACGGACGCUAAUACCGCAUACGUCCUACGGGAGAAAGCGGGGGAUCUUCGGACCUCGCGCCAUUAGAUGAGCCUAGGUCGGAUUAGCUAGUUGGUGAGGUAAUGGCUCACCAAGGCGACGAUCCGUAACUGGUCUGAGAGGAUGAUCAGUCACACUGGAACUGAGACACGGUCCAGACUCCUACGGGAGGCAGCAGUGGGAAUAUUGGACAAUGGCGAAAGCCUGAU